GUGACAGUGCUGAGUAAGAACUUAAACAUCAACUCAUAAAAACAGCAGCUCUUUGCUGUAUUCAUUGACAGUCUCUCUCUAGUCAGGGUUUUAAAUGUUUUGAAAUCUCACAGUAUCAACUUUUCUGUAGCUUUCUUUGAUGCCUGCUACAUUACUGCAGACUCAGUCAUCUGAGCAAUCUGAUUGGCCAGCGGUAGACCUAUAGUGCAUUUGAUUUUCUCUCUGGGCUUUCCAGGGAAGAAAACGUUUGUACCUCAGACACAUAAAAUGGUUCAAAUGGCAACAGUUCGCCUACCCAAAACACUCAGGGCAGCUGAAUCGGGUGCACCUAUCGCCUCAAAAAUAUAGGAACACAAUGCUCUAUCAUUGGGUUUUUUACAGAAAUGUUUGACCAUCGACUAGGAAUGCCUUGGAGAUCGACCAGUCAAUAUUGAUCGACCGGUUGGUGACCACUGCUCUAGAAAGUUGAGUAAAGUUCAACCUCGUGCUACUCUCUGUGGGCUGAUAUUUCUUCUGAGUGGCAGUCUCAGGGGAGCUGCACGGCGGUCUCAGGGGAGCUGCACGGCGGUCUCAGGGGAGCUGCACGGCGGUCUCAGGGGAGCUGCACGGCAGUCUCAGGGGAGCUGCACGGCAGUCUGCGCACCAACACACACACAUUGCACCCAGCCCCCUGUCUAAGACUGAUGUCUGAAGUCAUGUUUGCUUCAUGCUGGCAGAAGGGCUUGUAGAUGUUAUGGUACACUGAUUUAGCGCUGUGUAUCCCCUCUGGCUCUAGAGCUAGGAGGGCCAGAAUGAGAAUAUUUGUGAGAUCCAGAGGAAUUUUGCAGAAACAGAUCCACUUCUGGCAUAACAAUGUGUGUGACUUUGUAGCAGGUUGGUAUUUAUUGCCCUGGAGUCAGAAAUGAGUGAUUUCCCCUUAUAUAUGCCAGCUGUAAAUGUAGGUUUAAAAUGAGAUGACUUUGUGUCUGUGCCAGCUAGUGACCACUCUGCAGAGCUGCCUCCAGAACAAGAGUCAUAACGAAAAACACUAACCUGCCAGCCACAAAGUCAUAAAAGCUGAUUUAGAAACCUCAACCUUGACCACACUAUUAACCCUAACGUGUAACCUUUAAAUUUACGAUCAAAAAGCUCUUCUUUAUUUUUGUUUCCCAUUUUGACUGGCCCAUCUAGCACAAAUCUCUCACUUCUGCCUCCAGGGCAAGAUUCAUGACAAUACACGUCUACCUGUGACUUGGUACCAUUGUUCACUUAGACACGGGCCAGUAGAGAGAACAGCUUCUCUCAGACAUACUGGUUCUGUACAUAACAAGGGCAUGCAAUGACAGAUCCUAAAAUUAUAUUCACAUUUACAUAUCAAAAAGGUUUAAAAAAAAAAAAAAAAGAUUUACAAAAAUACAUGUUUUCAAAUUAUGAUUAUGUUGUGACAUAUACAGUACCAAUAUGACAAAAAAAUGGUGUUACAUUGAAUGUGAGAGUGUAGGUUACUAUUCAAAUGUCAAAUGUCAAAAAUACAGAAAUACCUAAAAAAAAUAUUAUCGUGCCAAAGGGUGUGAGGGCUUGGGAGGGAGGGUAACAUGUUGGGUGGUUUCGUAAAAGUAAACUGUUUUAUUGUUUUGGAUAUUUUCUAUAUAAAUAUAUUCCAGAUUUUCAAACCUUAAGCAAUACUACCCAUACGUGACACACAUCUGCACUGGGUACAAGUCCCGUAGUCUGGAGUACCUCAGUCUCCUAUCACAGCUAUACACACCCCUCCCUUCUACCUACAACUCUCUAAGAAACCAUUCAUCACAGAACAGUGCCAUUGACUAAUGACCUUUAAACAAUGUUGAGAUAGAGAUAGCUUUGUUGUGGCUAUGGAGUGUAAUUUACCUGUGUUUAUGUUGAGAUAACACAGUAUUGAUGCAGCUUGUUGUGUGUGUGUGUGUGUGUGUGUGUGUGUGUGUGUGUGUGUGUGUGUGUGUGUGUGUGUGUGUGUGUGUGUGUGUGUGUGUGUGUGUGUGUGUGUGUGUGUGUGUGUGUGUGUGUGUGUGUGUGUGUGUGUGUGUGUGUGUGUGUGUGUGUGUGUGUGUGUGUGGCAGCAGCAGCAGCUUGACUCAGCACUUUGACUCCAUGUUGCCCCACUGGGCUGUUCCGAGUUACUCUGCUGCCUUGGCAGAAACACAGGAUUCACAGUAACUCCUCAUAUUCCAUUCUAUUAUUUAUAAGGCUGAUUCCUAUAAACAACACUAAGAUCAACCCUAGAAAUGCUAAACUGGUCUGUGGAAAACUGACCUGAGCUCAUAUUUGUGAAUGUAAAAUGGUACACAUCAGCUAGGGCUGGAGAUUUCCACAGGGAGACAGACAGAACAAAGCUCGUUCCACAGGGCUGGAGAUUUCCACAGGGAGACAGACAGAACAAAGCUUGUUCCACAGGGCUGGAGAUUUCCACAGGGAGACAGACAGAACAAAGCUUGUUCCACAGGGCUGGAGAUUUCCACAGGGAGACAGACAGAACAAAGCUUGUUCCACAGGGCUGGAGAUUUCCACAGUGAGACAGACAGAACACAGCUCGUACCACAGGGUUGGAGAUUUCCACAGUGACACACAGCCUGAACACACAUUCUCCUCCUACAGGGCUGUGUCCUAACUUGUGAUACUCACGUCUUAGUUGCUCAAAUCAUACAAUGAUUGGGAGAUUUGCAUGACAUUUCGAGACUCUGGCAUGGGGCGGCAGGUAGCCUAGUGUUUAGAGCGUUGGAAUUGUAACUGAAAGGUUGCAAGAUCGAAUCCCUGAGCUGACAAGCACGCUGGAGGUUGGUGCCUUUUAAGAUGAGUGAGGACGAUACAUGUUUUGUUGCAAACAAGAGUUUCUAUUGGACAAAUUCAGGACCUGAGCCCUAGGACCAUGCCCCAGGACUACAUGACAUGAUGACUCCUUGCUGUCCCCAGUCCACCUGGCCAUGCUGCUGCUCCAGUUUCAACUGUUCUGCCUUACUAUUAUUCGACCAUGCUGGUCAUUUAUGAACAUUUGAACAUCUUGGCCAUGUUCUGUUAUAAUCUCCACCGGCACAGCCAGAAGAGGACGGGCCACCCCACAUAUGCUCUCUCUAAUUCUCUCUUUCUUUCUCUCUCUCGGAGGACCUGAGCCCUAGGACCGUGCCCCAGGACUACCUGACAUGAUGACUCCUUGCUGUCCCCGGUCCACCUGACUGUGCUGCUGCUCCAGUUUCAACUGUUCUGCAUUGUUAUUAUUCGACCAUGCUGGUCAUUUAUGAACAUUUGAACAUCUUGGCCAUGUUCUGUUAUAAUCUCCACCCGGCACAGCCAGAAGAGGACUGGCCACCCCACAUAGCCUGGUUCCUCUCUAGGUUUCUUCCUAGGUUUUGACCUUUCUAGGGAGUUUUUCCUAGCCACCGUGCUUCUACACCUGCAUUGCUUGCUGUUUGGGGUUUUAGGCUGGGUUUCUGUACAGCACUUUGAGAUAUCAGCUGAUGUACGAAGGGCUAUAUAAAUACAUUUGAUUUGAUUUGAUCUUUGAAAGACAGGGCUGAGUUUAGCUUGCUGCAUUUGCUAGCUAAGUAAGUGAAAGUGAAAAAAUGACAAUAUCUCUCUCUCUCCCUCUCUUCCGUCUCCUUAAUUGUUUUAUAAAUUAAUUUGUUCAAAACAGUUCAACUAUUGUCUUUCUCUUUGAGUUAACUAACACAUGGUAUGCACUGCAGUGCUAGCUAG